rnacentral:rRNA from 1 species
UACGUAGGGUCCGAGCGUUGUCCGGAAUUAUUGGGCGUAAAGGGCUCGUAGGCGGUUCGUCACGUCGGGAGUGAAAACUCGGAGCUUAACUCCGAGCCUGCUUCCGAUACGGGCAGACUAGAGGUAGGUAGGGGAGAAUGGAAUUCCCGGUGUAGCGGUGAAAUGCGCAGAUAUCAGGAGGAACACCGGUGGCGAAGGCGGGUCUCUGGGCCGAAACUGACGCUGAGGAGCGAAAGCGUGGGGAGCAAACAGG